UUUCGAAUGUCAUGUUACGUCCAGAUUAUUUUCAAUAAUCCGACCGUGGCUAACAUUUAUUUUCAUCUUCUUUCUGAUAGUGUUGAAUAGUUUAACCGUUUAAUAUACUGAAUUUGUGUACCUCGUCGGUGCGCAGCACGUGGAUAAUCCCAGGCGAGGCACACAAAGGAGGCUAUAAUUAGCUCUUUCAAAUAAUACAAAUUAAUCUUCCUUGGGACGAUUGCCGUUGGAACUACAUACUAGAAAUGUAUUGAAAUUCGAAACCGUUUAAGGUCGAAGAGAGGUAUCAUAAACAUCCUUCGCCGCGCGGUUAAGUAGUGCGAUGCACAUGGAGAUAUCCCAGCCUAACUGCGCAGAAUAAGGGAAAAUGCGAUUUUUGCCUACAUUACGAGCGGGUACCACUCAUACCUGUAGAACAUGCGUCAGCCGGACCUUCCACGGAAGAAUGAGUACAAUAAAGAAUGAAAGUGAUUCGAUCUGAAUGAUAUGAAGCGAUUUGAAUGGGAAUAGAAAUCGAGAUUUGCGUGACAACCACUGGGAUUUUGAAAACGUCGACCAACGUUCAAGAACGUUCGAGGCAACGGUCGACAAGGAUCAUAAACACGUAUUGUCGCGAAUAGGCAACAAAAACUGCCAAGCGUUUAUAAGAAAUAUUCUGAAACAAUUCCUAGAAAAUUAAUAUAUAUUCAAUACGCGUAAAUCUUCGUUAAAAAGCGAAUGAAAUACUCCCAUAAUUUAUUAAAAGUAAAACAUCGUAUCCCUUGUCACGAAAACUGGAAAAUGCGUGUAAUAUGCGUGAAAAGCUGUAAUAUAACGAACAUCGGUUAUGAAAUACUUCGAAUAAACUAAAAAUCAAAUAAAAUGUUUUGUCGACACCAGGGUUUCAUUUGUAAAAGCUUCAUUAAUUAAUCUGGAAACGAAUAAAUUCAAAUAGAAGCCAUUACGAAGAUUCCCGAAAGUAUGGAAAUUGCGACGCACAGAAUUCAUGUAGCGCUGUAGGGGUAAAAGAAAGAAAGUCAACGUUAGACAUAGCCGGAACGAAGGUCAAGGAGGGAUGAGAACUCGGGAAACGCGUCUAGUCAAAACCAAUGCGUGCGGGCUUUCCCCUUCAACACGUACCCUGAUUUGCCAAUGAUGUCCCCACUUUGAGCCCAUGAUCGCGGGUCGAACCCUGAGACACGAUCGCUUGACUGAGGCAAAUGACUCUUCGUCGAAAAAUCGUAAGAUUUCUAGACCACCACCACAGCUUUUCGUAUACGGUCCAUUGCUAAAUAUUAUAUACAAGAUAUAUUACAUCGAAUUGGUGAGUUGCACAGUCUAUACUUUAACACAGCGAAUCUGGUGUCGAGUGAGGCAAAACGGCGAUCUAUGAGACUGCCAGUCGUGGAAGUAUCCCACUAGAUCGUUCUUAAUUAAGAAUUUCUUAAUUAACUAAAAUUUCCCGAAUACGCGCAAACGAAGACGGCCCACGAGACAGUUUGUCUUGGAGGUAUCCAACUGGGACUGUCUCUUCGUUUUUCCGAUCGCUAUCGAAUCAUUGUAAAACAAACACCGAAGUUCGAAUCAUCAUUAUUGCAAAUAAUUCUAUCGUUUCCCUGUUAAUUUCUCGUUAAAGUUCAUUACAGUGACACUACAAUAUCUGUUCUAAUUUAAUAACCGUUCUAACAUAUUCUAAUUUCUUUUUCCGUAUAUUUCAUACAGCUCGAACGUUUUGUUAAUCAAACCAUUUUGUUGUAAUUAUUUUUCUGAAAUUAUACACAUGUUACCCAUAUUUGAUUUCUGAUAAUUUGCGUUCAAACACCCCUUUUCAUUUUCCUUUAUUAACACGCCUACCUUCUUGCACGAAUUCACACGAGGGGCCCGUAUGGGACCAGAGUAUUGACGGACUCAAACAAUCCAGAAUCUUAAUUCGAUUUAACUUGAUUUAAUUUGAUUCUUUUUAAAUUGUUCUAACCGUGGUUGACCCAACAUCGUCAAAUACGGUUAGGACUGGUGGCAGCGCUAACUAACGUUCACAUUCGUUUUCGUUUUUUUUAUUUUGUACGUCGCGCGCGCGCCGUAUCGCUCGCUUGCGACGUAACAGUCAUUAAAUAGGAGAAAUUGGCCAAAAACCUCGCAAUUACAUUUUUACCCGUAACUACCCUCCCAGAUGAGAUACAGGGUUGAAACCUGGCACAGACUGGUUUUUUUGAUCACCUAUCGAAUGGUUCAUAGCAAGUCGAAUUUGGUUUGGGGGCACUUUUGACCAUCUUACCCGGCUAUACCCUUUAUUAACACAGAAAUUAGAAAUAUACAAGAGAGUUCAAGAGAGUUCACGAGUCACACGAAUGAUAGGAAAUAUAUACAACAGAGUUUACAAUAAUUGCGAGUUCAAAAGAAUAUUACACCAACGAUAAUUGCGAGGACGCUGAGUGGACAAAUACUAUAGAGAAAUAGCGCGGACUGAACUCUAGUUGUGAAAUUCGCGUGUACAGAUCAGAACCAUGUGUUCACUUGUUGAGAGUUCGAACUAGAAGAGAGACACCGGUAAAUGGCGUCUAACGUUUCGGUUUCUGCGAUGGGAGGGGGCGAUUAGAACAAUGCGUGUCUGAGAGCUGCUGUCGCUACAGGCAACGAUGCACCGGCGAACUGUUUUCGCCGCUGAGUAAACGAUUCUAGAGAAUUUCGCCAACACCUGCGUUCCUCAAUUUUGGCCGUAAGCCCCGUCCCAUCCAAAACCUACGACACGAAACCGACCCGGAUUCCCUAUUAACCCUCCGAAACCCCCAAAAAUGGUCCAAUCGAAUGUCCCGUUUAACCCUUCUAUACGACAUUGUCCACCGAAACCUUGAAAGAGCCUCCCACCGCCAAGCAUCCUAUUAUAACCAUGGGCGUCGUGACGAGCGUUACCAAAGUGGUGACCUCGUCAUGAGACGCCAACACAUCCUUUCCUCCACAGUCCAAAAUAUAGCCUCCAAACUUGCCCCUAAAUUUUCAGGUCCUUAUACCGUUUCCAGAAUCCUCUCCCCCGCAGCAUACGAAUUAAAAGAUUGGGCCGGUAACUUAAUCCCCAAAGUCCACAUAAAAGACCUUAAGGUUUAAACCCUUCAGAACCCCUCCAAACCUUGAUGAAUCCACCUCCGAUAACCCUUCUCCUAGUCCAACCUCGUAUCACCCUUCCCAAGCAGGACCCUCAUCCAAUACCUCAGAUCUACCCAGUCCACAACUACCACGACCCACCCCCGCACAACUAAUAAAUCCCCAACCUAUUCCUACUCCACCCCCUCGUCGAGGACGAAGAAGACCCCGAAAACUCCCAACCAACCCUCCACUGAACGUCACCCUAAACUACCAACCCUUCAUACUUCCCUUCAUGUUCCUUAACAUACCACGACCCCGAUAAAAAUCUAAACGAAAAACAAAUGAAAAUUAAAUCAAAUGUAGCGACCGACAAGAGCCCCCCCCCCGAAAAGAAUAAACUAACUAAGAUCCAAUUAAAAUAAAUUUAGAGACCACCAUGGCCCCGAUUAGAAAAUAGAAGACACCAUUACAAAAAUAGUUUUACCCUUACGGUAAAACCCCAGAAAAACCACUCGCGUUAACCCCUCUCCGAGGAGAAAGGGGCCGAGGAGGGAGGGCUCGAGGAAGGAGGCCCUCGCCGCGGCAGCCGCGGCUAUGCAGAGGUCCAGCCGGCCGGCCAUGAUGACCGUGGCCAUCCAAACGGACUCGGACAUCACGGACAGUUCGUGCUUCCUCACCUACCCCAGAAACCUGCGCAUCCCCAGAACCCGCUACCACCUCCCAAGUCCCUACCUCUCCCCCAACUACUGCCGGUUCAAGCCGUAAAAAAUUGGCAAUUUCCACGUGCAUCACAGCCUGCUGGGUUUUUCCGGCAGCAUAUAUGGGAAAUGUCCGACGAGCUGAUUUGCUGAACAGUUCAGCCUAUCGCCAUUAGCUAAACUCAAAACGUUUACUAAUUGGCUCCUUUGGUCAACCCCUGCCUCGUCGGACUACCUUUCUACGGCUUCUUGCUGGACGUUUUUGACACGGACAUUCAUUCGUUACAGAGUCUUCAAACAGCCCACGUAGUCCCACCGAUUCGUUCUCAACUGUGAUAUUCGAGCCGUUAAAUUAACUUGUCUUUUGAGUAAACGGGAUCUCGAGUCUCCGACCAGUUCAGUGACUUUCAUACAGGCACCGUACCACAUUUGCUUCACAAUUGUACAGACAAUCGUAUUAGACAUUGCUUAUAAUAUAAUCUCGUAUUUAAUAUAAGACAA